rnacentral:misc_RNA from 1 species
GGAAAAUAAAAAAUUACAUUUAGCGAAACCAGGGCUGCCAUGGCAGUUGCAUUUUGGAACAGAUUUCUAGAUCAUGAUCAUCAUUGUUACUUUAGUCAUGGCUUCUACAAUGCCUAUCCAAAAAUGGUUGGGAAAUCUCUUGUCCUCGUACAUUGUUGUUUGGUGCUCAACGCUCUUUGCCUUCAUAAAUCUUAUGAAUAUUCAUGUCUCAUUCCAUUCAAGCCUUCGACCUUAACUAAAUCUUGCAUAUUUUGUUGGAUUACUUCUUUGAAUCAGCAUCAGAAUCACCAAAAAUCACGACAAGAACAAUAUCCAUCCCUGAAAUGGUGAAACCUGAACGAAUCUCUAACGGUGAUCUGCAUGUCAACAAUUUUGGCUAUUAACUUGAUGGCAUUAUGGCAGUCCCCACAUAUUCUCAAAUUCUUAAACACUCGAAUUGAUGAUUUCCCACUUGAAUUCAGUAUUCCAAAAGCAACUGCCAGCCUUUCACUGUGGCUGCACAGUGUUUCUUCUCUUACCUCUUGGUCUACAUUCUGCAGAACAAAAUCAGAGUUUGGUUGAUAACCAGCCAAUCUCAUCUUUUCACCUAUAUCCUCCAAAAAUCUGUAGAUCUUCUCAUUCUGUUCAUUACUCUUAUCUCCAACAACAAAAGAGUACACUUUAUUUUUUACCAGAAUCCAACUACGACCUGGCGUUUUUGCAAUUCCUUUGUCUCUCAUCAUUUUUCUAGUUUCUGAAGCUUCAACCCACAUUUUGGCAGUAGCCAAAAUGUUAGAUAAUAAAGCAUAGUUUCCAGGGUUAUCUGGUUCAAUCUCAAACAGCCGACCUGCUGCGAUUCUCCCCAACUCCACAUUCUUGUACACUCUACAAGCUCCUAGCAAUGCUCCCCAGGCACUAGCUGUUGGUUCUACAGGCAUUUUUUGGAUGAACUCAUAUGCUUGCUCCAGGUGACCAGCACGGCUUAGGAUAUCAACCAUGCAUGAGUAAUGAUCUUCAUCAGCUUUAAUUGCAUAUUCAGAAGUCAUUGAAUUAAAAAUCAUAAGGCCUUCAUCAGCUAGCUGAGAAUGGCUACAUCCAGACAAGACACCUAUAAAUGUAACAGAGUUAGGUUUAAUCCCCAAGUCCAACAUUUUGCGGAAAAGCAUCAACGAUUUUUCUCCAUUUCCAUGCAUAGAGUUUGCAAUGAUCAUUGUGUUCCAAGCAACAACGUCUUUUAUUGGCAUCAUAUUGAAGACUUCUCUUGAAAGUUCCAAGUCACCACACUUCGCAUACAACAAAACUAGAGCUGUUGUUAUUGUCAUGUCCUCUAUAAAACAAUGCCUAAAGGCAUAACCAUGAAUUUCUUUCCCACCCCUUAAGCUUUCCAAAUUUGUACAAGCAGGUAAGAGACUAGCAAUCGUGAUUUGAUUGGGUUUGAACCCUGAAUCUUGCAUAUUGUUAAAUAUAUCCAGUGCCAGUUCAUUUUGGCCAUUCUGCUGGCAGCCACUGAUUACAACAUUCCAUGAAGCGUUAUUUAACUUGAUGCCUGUCUCUCUCAUUUGAUGAAACAAAGCAAGACCGUUCUCACAUUCUUUGUUCAAGAAGUAGGCUGUUAAUAUGACAUUCCAUGAUACAACAUCUCGCUGAGACAUGUUAUCAAAUACCAGCCUAGCUUGUCUAAGGCUCAUGCAACUGGCAUACAUGUUCACAAGAGCACUACUCACAUAAACAUUCCCUUCCAUUGCAGUCCUCAGAACAAACCCAUGAAUCUCUCUUCCCAACUUCAACUCCUUCAAAUCAGCAAAAGCAGGUAAGACCGAUGAUACUGUCAAUGAACUAGGUCUAAUACCAUCUAACCCCAUCUCCCUAAAAGCCAACACACCUUCUCUAGACAUACCACAAUUGACAUAACAAGAAGCCAUUGAAGUCCAAGAAACCACAUCUUUAACCACCAUAUCAUCAAAAGCCCGUUUUGCUCCAUCAACACACUUACAUUUCCCAUACAUAUCAAUCAAUGCAUUACCCAACAAAAGAUCUUUAUUAAACCCAAAUCUAAUUGCAUCAUCAUGUAUUUCCUUGGCCUUGACAACAUCACCAGACGCAGCACAUGCCUUCGACACUGAUAGUAAUAGUAAUUUAUCAGGCUUUAUACUGCGACCCAACAAUGUAGCGUAGAUUUCUAUGGCUUUCUUAUGGAACCCAUGUUGAAUGUGAGCCGAAAUUAAAAUGGUCCAUGCACGCAGGUCCGGUUCAGGAACUUUAUCGAAUAAGUAGCGUGCACGUUGUAAGUCACCGGAUUCCAAGCAACUUCUAAUCAAUUUGAAGCUCCGGUUAGGCGGGAAUCUUGAGGGUAGCCUUGAGUUCAUGUGAUUGUGGAGUUGAUUUGCUAUAAUACGUUUCUUCUUAAAGAAAUUGAGGUCUCAUCAUGAACUUCGGAGGCAGUUGGACUGAGCUCUCGAUCUCGGGACCUCUCUAUUGUCACAAGACUCGAUCCCCGAGCCUGUGUGUGACUUAAAACUGCAACGAAAUUUACCACGUUAGUUAACGACACAUUUGAAGGAAAACUGCGACGGU